CCCAGGACGGUGACAGAAUUGGAAUGCACAGAAUUGGUUGUUCACAGUUCAAAGGAAAAAUCUAACGUGUUCCUAACCCCACGCUGGAGCCCAGAUCGAAGUCCACACUCUGAGAAGGACUGGGGUCCCUAGAUUGCCAACAUAGAGUGCUCGGACCUAGGUACAUGGACUGGAAUGCCGCUUGGAAAGAUUUGAGAAAGACAAGAAGGACGAGAAGAUGGUGAAACUGAGGUUUGGAGAAGUUAAGUCACACACGUGAUCGUGAUCCCACGGCCGUAAUCAACAGAACCAAGACUUGGUCUUAGAGCUGUAACAACAUCCUCCUGGCAUCCAGCCCAGGUCUAGCAGGUGCUCCAUUGAAGAAGCUGCCUUCAUCCGAAGUUUCUCUAUGUGGUGAUGAGACAAAAUCUGCUCCCUGAAUGUCCAACUCCCAAGGCUGAGAAAUGUUUGGGAAGACAGACUGCCUUGGGGCUCACUCCCACUGGUCAGAUCCAGUCUCUGCCUUACCAGGUGAGCCAUUCAGGGGUGACAAGGUCUUAUGAGACAGGCAGGCAGGACUCACUAGCUCCCAGAACUCACGGGGGGAUUGGCACCUGCAGCCCUGCAGUUUAUAU